CUUCCUCUCUAGCUUCCUUGCUCUGUUGAUCUAUGGCAUUGCAAGCACUGCUCUCUCAAUUGAAAGCACUCAGAGUGAUGACCUCUCAAUCCUUCCAAGUACACAGGAUGAUUUCUUUUCAAUCCUUGCAAGCACCCAGAGUGAUUUCCUCGGCGCUCACAACUCCGCAAGAGCUUCAAUUGCGACGUCUCCAAGAAUCCCUCCUGUCUCCUGGAGCAAUGACGCCGCGGCAUUUGCAAUGAGAUGGAUCACAACGCUGAGAGACACGAGAAAUUGCAACAUGGUUCACUCCGGCAACAGAGCAUAUGGGGAAAACUUAUACAAAUGGAUGGGAAGUCCUGGAUUGCCAUCGCCAAAUCCUGCGGAAGCCGUGAAGUCAUGGGUGAACGAGAAGAGAGAUUAUCGGUAUGCAAGCAAUAGCUGUGCCGCUGGUAAGGUUUGUGGGCAUUACACCCAAGUUGUGUGGAGGAACACCAAGAGAGUGGGGUGUGCUUCGAUCAAAUGUCCUGGAAAUAUGCUGCUUGUGAGUUGCAAUUAUGAUCCACCUGGUAAUUGGGUUGGACAGAAGCCAUAUUAGCAGAUUAGAAAGUUCCCUUGCAUUUUCACAGCAUAGCCACAAAUCCAAUAAGUUUUCUUCUUGAGAAUCAUGGCAUCGUGUAGUUUUCUCAUUGACAUCAUUGUUAGAUCAUAAGAUUAUAUGUAUUCAACUUCCUUAUAAUAAAUGUAAACUCACUGUUUCAAUGACAAUCUAUCAGACAGGCCAAAUUGAUUAAUAUUUUUUUCUAGAAGUUUAGUUUGAGUUCUCUUUGUUAGCUUGACGCAUUUUGUUAUUAUUGAAACAUCAAGUAGGCAAGAACUAUGAAUGAAUUAAAUAUUGCCUAGCAUAAGUUGCCCAGUUGGCAAAGUUUUUCUGAUCCACAUAUUAUCAAGAAUCUAUCGCUAGAUCUCUAGGGCACAUGCAACUGUUCUAGCACCAAUUGUGAUGACCUGCACAUUAGGAAAUACUUUUGAAACUACAAAACAUUUCAUGAUAUCCUCACCCAGAUCUUCACCAUUCCCUCGCCAUUGUCCAUGUCACACCCUAAAGUAACCAUGUCAAAUGUAGCGUUAGAUGGCAGCAUUUUAUGCGGCACCAGCGCUGCAUCGUGCACACAGCAGCACCUCGGACUUGACUCCACAGGGCCCUCUCAACACCUCCAACAUCCAACACCUUAACGAUGUCAACUUAGAUGCAUCCAAUGAAUGCACUGCUCAGCACAACACUCAGACCUCAGCGCCUCUGCAUGUGUCUAACAUGACAGCAUAUGCAGCACCCUGUGCCCUAGGGAAUGCCCUCAACAGCCAUAUCUGGUGGCUCAUUGUUGUCUUUGCUGGCCUCAUCUAGGAUCUGGAGCUGGGCUCCGAUACCAUGUCCUAAACAAGCUGAAGCAUAAUGGAUUAUGAAUGGAUAUGCUUAGAUAUUUUCAUAACUCUACAUAUAGAAUAUCCUACAUGAUGUAAACCUCUCAUGUUAUAGAGAGUGUACAUCUCCAAUAGGACUGCACCAUCUCAACACCAGUGUCCACCCUCAAUCAAGUAAACCAAGAAAAGUAAACCAAGAAUCAAUUCAUCUCGGCCCUCUUGUACAUGACUAUAUGCCCCUGCUUUGCUGCUCGGCCUUGUAGUUGCAAACAUCCUCAGCCUUAGGACUAAGAUGGAAGAAAAAAAGAACAUCAAAGCUGAGCAAACAAGCUCACUCCACUCCAUAGUUUGAAGAAGAAAACUCAUCUUUCUUGAUGCGAGCUUACUCUCCCUUGGCGCUCAGUCACCUCCCACCUCAAAUGCUGGACUCUGCCAUCUGAGCACCAAUGUCCACCCUCAAGAAAGUAAACCAAGAAUCGAUUCACUAUAUGCCCCUGCCCUGCUACUUGGCCUUGUAGUUGCAAACGUCCUUGGCCUUAAGACUACGAUGGAAGAAAAAAAAACAUCAAUCUAAAGCUAUGCGAGAAAAAACUCACUCCACCCCAUAGUUAGAGAAGAAAACUCACCUUUCUUGCUGUGAGCUUGGUUGUUGUUCGCUUCCAAACAACUUACUUGCAGGUUGCUUGCUUUGCAGUCCCAACACUUCCUUUCUAGCAUAGUUGCAGCUAGAUGUGCAAACGUUCCAACGUGUCGAAGUUUAAAUGCCGUUUAAAACGUUUUUUUCAGGACAAUCCAACGUUUACAUGUUAAAGCCUAAAAUGAUUAAGAAAACAUUAAUAUUUACUAAAGACUGAUAUUAAGUUUAUAAAACCUAACCACUAAAACAAAUGAAAGAAGAAGCCGUUUUAGUCGUCUUCCAAUUCCGAAUCGUCCAGUGCCUCAGCCGAAGCAAUAUCAAAAAAUGUCACCAAAUUUCUAUCCAAGGAUCUACGUUUUGCUGCUCUGCUUGUCCCAGCACUGGACCAGUUCUCCGUGCUUGCGACCAUAGAUUCUACUAGCCCCCCUGACUGUGCGGCUUGCUUGCUGCAGCAGAUGCCCAUCAUCAGCAUCUGCUGGGUCUGCUAGCUCGGAAUUGGAAAAACUGCUGCGAGCUUGUUUAAGAACCUCAUAAGGGAUUUCCCUCAUUGCCUUACAUGUUUUCACACCUCUUGCCCGAACUCCAGCGAGAUGUGCUCACACUCGGUUUGCUCCCCCAGUGUGAAUCUCAUGACAAUACUUACAUGUCCAGUGCUGCUCUACUCGUAUCACAUGCUUUCAGCUCUGGCAUUCGUGGCAUCCUCCAAUUCCUGACCAUGUCUCUUUUCACAAAUAGUCCAAACGGGAGUUUAGAAUGGUGUUUUUGAACGCAUUUAAAACAUUACGUUUUUUAAGUUUCACACGUUUUCCAGCAACUAUGCUUUCCAGGCUGCCCCUCCUAGUUUUCCUUGCUCAAUGCAACACACUCAAAUACCAAGGUAGCUUUAAAUUAAGGAUGUAUUACAAUGGCAAAUCUUCAAAAGAUCGCAUUCCUUCUGUUUAAGUACAAUUAAAAAUCCACACCUGGAAACAAAAAAUACAUCUAAAUGAAAGUGUCACUUUGCAAGAAAGAAGUUCUCUUGAAUCAUAGAAGUGUUGUUAGAAGAAAACAAAUCCGUUGCCAUGGAGCUGCCGGCAGCAGCCUCACUUUGGUGCUGGCAACAUCACGUUCACCUACAACAUGAAGUUGAAUUGAUAAUUGUCACAUGGUUGGUACCAAGCACCAUCAAGAUACCUAUCCUAGAAUAGAAGCAGCAUCCUGUCAGUAUCCUAUCAAGGGCCUGUAGAGUAACAUCUAGAUUAUCCACAAACUUGUUCUUCCUUUUCCAAUCCCUUCGAGCCAAGCAAGCCAAGCCGAGAACUGGAUCAUGUUGGGGGGAUAGCAUGCCUGAUCAUGGAACGCUCUCUCUUGCCACCUCUAGAAAUCAACAUUACUGGAGGAGAAUCCAUCACCAUUCCAUGAUGGGUCUGUCAAUACGUCAGCACGCUCUUCACCCAAGGGGCCAAAAGGGAGAAGCCUUGGAUUGAACAUACCAUCACCGCCAAGCCCCAGCAUUGCAAGGAGCGCCCCUUUGUCGCUCAUCCAGCCCUCCAUUACAGGAACUACAGGAACAUCGUUCUCACAAUAGACCCUGCACGAAGGAAACAACACGAUUAAGAAAAGAAAUAAAGUAGUUGUACACUGGCUGAGACAGAAAAAGCUUUGGAUCAAGGAGAAAAAGUUCUUCGAUGAGAGGAGAAGACUAGCAUGCCCCAGUCUUACCUGCCCAUGCACGUCUAAUUCACUAUAAAGUGUGUUAAGGCUGCUGUGCGAGAUUAGUGUAAAGUUAGUGACAGAGCAAAGAGCGGUGUUGAGGCUAAAUUUGUACCUAGCAUCGCCGGCUCACUCCCGCCUGCCCAUGGUCCAAAACCACCCGGCUGGCCUAAGGCUGGCCCGCCGGGUAUAAUGUCACAGCUCGAUUGAAAAAAAAUAGUACCGCCUUUGCGAGUUUAAAUAAUCUUAAGCUUCUUAGUUAAGCCUUAAAAACAAUUCACAAGCUGACUUUUUAUUUUAACAAUCUUUAGUACAACUCGAAAGUAAUACUGAUUUAUUGCGAUGAGAAAAUUAGACACAUGCUAAUGAUGCUAUGCUUUGCAGAAGAGAACUUAUUGGAUUUGUGGCAAUUUUAUGCUGUGAAAAUGCAUGGAAAACCACUUCAUAAAGUGAGUUUUCCAAGCUACUAAUAUGGCUUCUGUCCAACCCAGUUACCAGGUGGAUCAUAGUUACAACUCACAAGCAGCGCAUUUCCUGGACAUGUGAUAGAAGCACACCCCACUCUCUGGGUGUUCCUCCAGACAACUUGGGUGUAAUGCCCACAAACCUUACCAGCGGCACAGCUAUUCGUUGCAUACGUAUAGUCUGUCCUCUCGCUCACCCAUGACUUCACGGCUUCCGCAGGAUUUGGUGGUGGCAAUCCAGGACUUCCCUGCCAUUUGUAUAAAUUUUCUCCAUAUGCUCUGUUACCGGAGUGAACCAGGCCGCAAUUUUUCGUGUCUCUCAGGCUUGUGAUCCAUUGCGUUGCAAAUGCCGCGGCGUCAGUGCUCCAGGAGAGAGGAGGGAUUCUUGGAGAUGUCGAAACGGAAGCUCUGGCGGAGUUGUGAGCGUCGAGGAAAUCACUCUGGGUGCUUGCAAGGAUUGAGUAGAAGUCACUUUGGGUGUUUGCAAGGAUUGAGAGGAUAUCACUCUGGGUGCUUGCGAGGAUUGAGAGGGUGCCAUAGAUCAACAGGGCAAGGAAACUAGAGAGGAAGAACUUACUAGAGAUGAACAUGGCUAAGCUAUAAUCUAAGUACAUGAAGUUUUAUAGCAAGAACAAGUUCGAUUGAAAUGGUCUCGAGCAACGCAACAUGACGAACAUUCCGUGACGAUCAUCCUUAGAAGUUGAAAGGAGGGUGGAAUGUUCAGCCCUCGAUUUACGCUCCUUGCAAUCGCGGCCGUCCACGCUGAAGAAAUGCAGCGCUGUUUCAAUCAGAAAUAAAAAAAGGCAAAAUUCGUAGAACAAAAGGGCAAAUAGUAACAUUUUAGAAGUUUAGUUUGACUUCUCUCCUCUAACUUAGACUCAUUGUUGUUAUUACUCACGUUCUGCUGACCAAUGCUUCUGAUUGUGAUUGCAGCAAUUGUAAAAAAGAAGCCGUUUUGGAUUUUACAUGAUUUAAAACAAAUAAUUAUUAACGUAUGCAGAAAACCUAGUCAAAAUUUUUUCUUAAUCUGUAAGUUAGCUUUGAUAGAAUUUGUGGAGUUCCUCCUCCGAGUUCUUGGAUCUAAAACAGCCCUGAUUUCUCCACACUUCAUCCUCGACCUCCCUCGCCAUGAAGAUCACUUACUCCUUCGCCACCUCGGCCUUGAACGCGGCCAUAGACGGGGAUGUUGAGAAUGGCCAAAGACGACAGUUGCGCCCAUUCCCGGCCCAAGAUUUCCACUAGAAUGGAUCGAAAAAGUCUAGCUCGUGUUAUACAGGGGAGGAUGACGUCUUUGAUACGGCAGCGAGGCUGGGAUUUCUAAUCUUACAAGUUAUCCAAUCUCGACGCACGAGUUCUUUGACUGUCGUCUUCUGUGAAAUAGAAAGCUAUUCGUGUCGCGUAUGUUUUUACUGAGGGUUUCUAAAAUACACGAUGGCGAGCAUUGGUGAAUUUGAACGAGCUUGUGAGAAUGGAACUUCGGUCCAGGAGGAGCUGCUGGUCGGCAUUCUCCGCAAGAAUGCAAGCACCCAUUAUCUCCAGAAGUUUGGGAGCCCCCAAACUCCAGCUGCUUACAAAUCCCAGGUUCCAAUCGUAUCCUAUGAGGAUGUCGCCGGAGAGAUUGAAAGGAUUGCAUCCGGGGACGAGAGCCCAGUUCUUUGUCAGGACCCAAUUAUUUGCUUUUUCGCGAGGUAAGAAUGUCUUUGCCGGAAGAACAAAGAAAAAUCUCUCUUUUUCUAGUUUAAUUGUCAAAAUUUUCUAAUUCCAGCUCCGGCACAUCAUCUGGGAAGCACAAGAUUAUUCCAGUCACUGCUGAGAAUAUGUCCGCCACAUGGAGAGCAGUAGAACUUUCCAGUGCUUACAAAGCAAGGUAUUUUGCUAAUCUCAAUUUCUCUUGUGAAGAACUUUGAUGGUUUUGUGGAAAUCUUUUAGAUGUUUCCCGGAGCUUGGAAGUGGGAGAGUGCUCGGUUUGUACUACUGCAUCGAUCAAUUUCAUACCAAGGCAGGGAUCUUGGUGGGAGCUGGCACCACUUACACGAUCAAGAACUACAGAAGCUUCUCAAGUAAGUUCACGACUCCGUACGAGAUGAUCGUGUCCGGGUCAAACUGGCGGGAGCUGACGUACUGCCACUUGCUGUGUGGCUUGAUCCAGCGAGACGCGGUGGAACACAUCGAGUCGAUGUUUGCCUACACCAUCUGCGAGUCUCUGAGGAUCCUCGAGAGCGAUUGGGAGGAGAUUUGCAACGACAUAAGAACUGGCAGCUUGAUCAGCGGCAAAGUCACACACGCAAAGCUCCAAGAAGCUUUCGCGAGUUUAAUUCUGGAUUAUAACGAGCUGGAUCGUGUCCGCAAUGCCGAGGCCAUCACCAAGAUUUGCAGCAGAAAAUCAUGGUCUGGAAUUCUUUCCUUGCUCUUCCCGCGAGCAAAACUGGUUUCCACAGUGGUGACCGGGGGGAUGGCACACUUUGUUCCUGAGUUAAGAGAUUACGCAGGUGUCAAGCUUCCAAUAUCCGGGAAGGAUUACUACUCGUCUGAGGGAGUUCUUGGGAUCAACACAAACCCCGCUUCUCCUCCUGAGGAAGUCGUCUUCACAAUUUUACCACACAUAAUGUACCACGAGUUUCUUCCGAUCGGUGCUAAUAAUCCAGCUGGUGAAAUCCUGGCUCCACACGAGGUUGUCGUUGGGCAAGAGUACGAGAUCGUCAUCACGAACUUCGCAGGUUUGCCAUCUUCUAUCUUUUCUUGCAAAUUUCUCACCCGAAGUGUUCUCUUUUCUUUAAGGAUUAUAUCGAUACCGAGUCGGGGACGUGGUGAAAGUAUCGAGUUUUUUCCAUGGAGUUCCUCAGCUGGCUUUCAGCCACCGCAAGAACGCGGUUCUGAGCGUCCAAAAUGAGAUGGUCGACGAGCAAGAGCUCCAAAAUGUGGUGAUGGAAGUAUCAAAAGAUUCAGGGAUCGAGGUGGCGAACUUCACAGCCUAUGGCAAUUCCACCGCUGUUCCUGCGCACUACGUGAUCUUCUGGGAGCUCAAACGCAGAGAAGGGAUCAAGAGAGAGCUCUUGGAGAGAUGCUGCUCGAGUAUAGACAGGUCUUUCAAUCCGGGAUACACUGGAAAGAGGCUGGAUGGAGUGAUCGACUCGCUGGAGCUGGUGAUUGUCAGGGAAGGGACGUUUGAGAGGCUGAUGGAGGAAGCUGUGAGGAAUGGAACAUCGCCAGCGCAGUAUAAAACUCCAAGGUGUGUGACCUCUCCAAGAAUGCUGGAAGCUCUAGAGUCUGGACGCGUCCAGAGCUACAAGAGUGGGGAGAUGCCUAGAUCUGUGUUAGAGAGCUGGGAGCCAAGCUUUCCACAAGGCAGUGCAUCGUGAGAUGCCUAGAAUAUACCUGAAAAAGCAUCCACAUUUGUUUCCAACAGAAGUCCAUGUGCCCCUCACCUCAUUUUGUAUCAAGCAACUGGCUGAGAUUUUUAAGAACAAACAUAGUUAAGGUAGCAAAAUCAUAGUCAAUGCAUACAUUGGGCCAAUUUCAUCAGUUCUUAACUUGUUUUGUUCAGCCCUUGAGGUUUUCAAAGGUAUAACAGAAUACAACCAUUAAAACUUGAUUUGAAUCAUUGAAGCUGGAGGAGAUUUAGUUGUGACAAUUGCGAAUCCACCGCCACAGCUAAGAUGGCUAAUCUUCUAAAAAAUUGCAUCAACAAGAACAUUGUUGCUGAAAAGAUUGAGCUCUUGGUGGAGUUGCUAUGUUUAUUCCAUUAUCUUCCCCACUAUCAACAAGAUCCCAUUGGAAAAAAAAUCCUGUCCCAAUUUCACCAGCGUCACAAGACAUUAUGAAUCUUAGCAACAUCUGGUUAAACCAAAAGAAAAUUCUGAAUGAGAAACAAUGCAAUGUACUUGAGUGUAGGAUUUGGUUCUGAAGUUCAUCCUAGAAAUCUAGAGGCAAGGUUAAGUUUCCAUUAAGAAUGUGUGCUGCGUUGACGAGAUCAUUCUCAUCAAAGGGAGCUUGUUGAUUCGUUGGCAAUGUCAUCUCAGAGAUAAAUGCCAAGAAUCCUAGUAAAACUUGCUUCAUGUUCUAUGUUGAUGUCUUUGCUGUGACUAGUUCAAAACCUUAAGCUGCUUGACCAUGUAGAGAUCUUUAGCUUGUUGGUACUGAAGUUGUAAUUUUCAACUGAAGUUCCUAUCUAUUAUAGGGCUUCCUCUAGCACUCUCCACUCUCAUCUAGAAAAUUUUUGCCAAAAAUCCCAUAUCUAGUCUUGUGGGAUUUUCAGUAACCCACUUACCCAUACUUGUGAUGGAAUACUUGGAUACAAACUUGUUACUUGCCACUCAGGAACUUUAUACCCAUUGCAAAGUAAUGAAGCAUGUGUAAAUCUAGGGUAAGUUAUUGAUCACCACAGCCUCAAAAACAUCUGCUAGAACUUCCGAAAUUUCGGCAUGCAGUCACUCUUUAUUAGUAAAUCACAUAUUUCUACCACUAAAAGCUUGAAAGGAAUUUAUGAGUGGUUUGGCGAAUUUGCUCACCUAUUGAAGUGUUGAGACAGAUAUUUCUUCCAUGAUGAUGUCUGUAAACAUGAUGGACCAUGCAUGUAAAGCAUUGGUGACCACCUCCGUCUCCAAGAAGAGAAUGCAAUACAUAAUAAACUUAAUGACAACUCAAGGAUCUCUCAAUACCAUAUGCUAACUUCCACAUCCUUGCAAAGCUUUAUUCUACCUGGCAUCACCAAUGGAAAUGCACCAGCCAUCCAUACCACAUUUUGCAUGGUGUUUAAUGGCUCCCACAUGCAUGGGGCAGGUCCUUCUCAAAUGCAAGCCUGCAUCCCUACACUCGUUGCAUACUGUGUAGAGUAACACAAUUGUGCAUAAGCAAUUGAGCUGCAUCUUCACUGUAAGGAUUAAGAACAUUAUGUAAACCUUUAUGAAUAUGCUUUUAUUUCUUAUAAGGAAAAUUCAUUUCAUAUAUAUCAAAGUAUUCAAGCAAAAUAAGUUGCAUUUCACAUGUAGCUUAUUUUGUUAGCCCCUCAAAGUCUUAUAUAUCAUCAUCCACCACCAACUGAUUACCGACAAAUAUGCAAUACACAAAGUACAACAAAGGGGAAAACAAGUUUGAACAUGGAUACAAAGCUUAUGAACUCAAAGCCAAGGACAUAAAACCCAUGAAUUUGGAGCCAAGACAAGCCUAUAUUUGUAUAAAAUGUUUUAAAUCUAAAAAAUAAGUCUUCAAUGAGUAUCUUGAUUUAUGCAUUUUGUUUAAUAAUGGCUACAAAGCCUAUAUAGCUUUAUCAUGGUAGUAGGCACAUCAUGUUCUCUUUAUGCUCUACUACUUCAAGUAAUUUAUGUGAAGAGUAGGAUAUAUUUUAUAUCAGGAUGGGAACAUUGUGUUAACUCACUUUUGUGCCAAAGCGAAAUGCCUACCAAUGCUAUAAAGUUCAUAGCUAAUCUCCUAUGAUGACAAGCUAGUUGAUUGUCAUUUCUUACUUACAUAUAAUGCAUAUUUUGAAUAAAGAAUUGUAUUUAUAAUCAAUGCUCACCCUUCUACUUUUUGAAACCUGCACACACAUGAUAAAUUUGAUGCCUAAAUUGAGACAAAAAAUCACAUACCUUAACACAACAUCCACAAUGGAGGCAUUAUGAACAAAUUAUUGCACUUGUGUUUGCACAAUUAGUCUUCACCCACCAAUCAAUCUUUUCCCUCAAACUCCUCAAAACCUACACAUACAAUAAAGGAUCAAAUGUAUUGCAACACAUAUCUUUGCAAGAGAAUAAGAGAGUGGCAAGCAAGAAAUGACCUAGCAAAGAGAUAUAUGUUGCAACAUCAUUGCAUGCACCCAUAAAUGCUUGAGAUGGCAAAUUGAGUAAAAACACCUCUAUAAGUUAGCUUGAAUUGGAAUUUGUGGAAUAUUAUAAACAUGAUAUGCCAUCAGGAGAAGUUCCUCCUCCAAGUUCUUGGAUAAGUGGCUUGCAAAAUGAAUGGCGGUCCUUGUGUGGAGUGAGAUUUCUCCACACUUCAUCCUCAACCUCCCUCUCGCCAGCACCACGAAGAUAAUUACUUGAUCCUGCAAAAACUCGUCCAUGAAGAUCUCCCCUCAAGCUGCUCCACCAUCUUCGCCAGUGCUGCUGCCACCAUCCCUUCCUGGAGCUCCGCUUCCUGCCCGUCAGCACCGACGCUCCAAGCCAGUGCCCAUUGCUCGUCUCCACAUCAAGCACCACCUGCAUUCGACGCUCUCCCGAAAACUCGCUCUCCAUCGCCAACGCCAGCUUCUGGCAGCCCUGGAUCUCUUUGGAACCUCAGCCUCGAACGCUACACGCUCCGGACACGUAUGCCGUACACUUCGUGACGGCCCCGCGCAGGUACGCGCGGGCAUGACCCCUGCCUCUCCUCGCACACCUCCACAGCGCGACAAACCUUGCUAAAGUUGGCAGGAAGACGCGCUUGAGGUACUGGAAAGGUGGCGAGAAUGGUGCCACCCUUGAGGGCGAAGGUGGAGCUGCCGGUCUUGGUCCAGGUUUCAAAACCCUAAACUAAUCAAACAUGGGGUUCCUGAUUCAGUGCCCGGUGGUGAGCUUCGAGGAUGCCGCGAAGAGAAAUACUCUUGGUUUUCUAGUGAGUAUUGGCGCGAACAAGGCUGAGAUCAAGCGGGCUGUGAUGGAGCAGUACGGAUUGUCCCGGGUCAAGAGCGUUCGGACACGUAUACAGGGGAAGGACAAGUUUGCGUAUGUUGUGGUGGAUGACGCCUUUGAUACGGCAGCGAGGCUGGGAUUUCUAGGAACAAACCACUGAUUUCCAAUAUUUGAAUGGAAUAAAGUUUAUUGGGAAUACGAGUUCUUUAAAUUGUCCUCUUCGGUGAAAUAGAAAGCUAUUCGUGUCACGUUUAUCAGUUUAAUACACGAUGGCGAACGUUGGCAAGAAUGGAGCUUCGGUCCAGGAGGAGCUACUGGGGGGGCGGAAGAAAGGUAUCUCCAGAAGUUUGGGAGCCCCCAAAUUCCCAAUCUUAACCUGGAUGUCGCAGGAGAGAUUAAAAGGAUUGCGUCCGGGAGGGCCAGUUCUUUGUCACGAGGUCGCUUGACACGAGGUUGUCACUGGGCAAGAGUACGAGAUCGUCAUCACAAACUUCGCAGGUCUUAGUUUCUAUCUUUUUCAACUUUUCUUCCUUUCUUUUUUUCUCAGGAUUAUAUCGAUACCGAGUCGGGGACGUGGUGAAAGUAUCGAGUUUCUUCCAUGGAGUUCCUCAGCAAACUCAGAGAAGAGAUCAGGAGAGAGCUCUGGGAGAAAUGCUGCUCGAGCAUAGACAGGUCUUUCAAUCCGGGAUACACUGGAACUGGUGAUUGUCAAGGAAGGGACGUUUGAGAGGCUGAUGGAGGAAGCUGUGAGGAAUGGAACAUCGCCAGCGCAGUAUAAAUCUCCAAGGUGUGUGACCUCUCCAAGAAUGCUGGAAGUUCUAGAGUCUGGACGCGUCCAGAGCUACAAGAGUGGCGAGAUGCCCAGCUCUGUGUUAGAGAGCUGGGAGCCAAGCUUUCCACAAGCCAGGCAAAAAAAUUAAGUCAUUGGAAGUCAAACAAGGUUGAAUAAUGCCAUGAACUUGACCUAAAGUUACUGACACGUGUUUAUUUUAUUUACCUGUAGCAUGAUUACAUCAAAAUAAAGAAUCUUUUUACAAGUCUAGGGCUAGAGAAUGGGCGCUGUGACCACGGCCGUGAUCGCGAUCGCGGGGAUUCUACUCGGAUGGGCAGCGAUCGAAAUGGCUUGCAAGCCGUGCUUGGAGAGAGGAAGAUCUUCGCUGGCGAAAUCGCUCAAUCCGGACUACGAUCCAGACGACGAACUGGAUGCCCAGCGCCCGGCGGUGACAAAGAAAGACGAAGAGGAGGAGGAGGGCGAUGGCGAUCGUGGCAUUGAGGAGCUCGAGGCCGGGGGUAGCGCCAGCAUUGACGACGAGAAGAAGCCACUCACAAAGAAAUAAAAGCUCUCGAUCCUCGCCCUCUUUGUAAGUAAACGAAGUUCUCCUGCGAAGAACACAUCCAAUCUAUUGUAUUGUCUCUACAAUCUGGGCAUUCUUCCCUCUCCUUGGGCGUCCAGACUCUUAGAUCGUCCAACAAGAGAGAUCACACACCUCGGAUCUCUCCAUUUCUUCUCAAACGAGCCAUAAACCCUAAACCUAUGAUGCUUUCUUCCUCCGCGAAUGCGGUGCUUCCCAGCGCUCGGCCGGGCCGCUCACACCAGCUGCCAAGAUUUCGCGCUUCCCGGGCAGCGAUUUGCUGUAGGAAUCACGGCAGCGGGAGCGCGAAGGUGGAGAGAUCGACCGGUCGAUUGAGCAGGGAUGCAGGGAUUUUGCUCGGCACUGCGGCGUUUUGCCUGGUCUCGGGAUUCAGCGUCAGCGAUUUCGCUCGAGCUGAGGCCGUCCCGCCCGUCGACGAUGUGGCUGGGUUGCCGGCGUCCGCGAUUCCAGAUCUCGCCAAGAAGAAGAGGGCGGUAGCCGAGAAGCCAGGGAAGAGCUCAAAGGUUCCGUCCAGGGUUCUUCGCGCAAAGGCCAAUGAGAGGACGCUCAAGGCGGUGCUAAAGACGAUCGAGGAGGAGCCGGGCAACUUGGUGGCUUACAAGGCUUUGCUCUCGCUCAGGAUGGAGAAUGGCGAGGUGAGGGAGGCGAUUGAGGUUCUGGGAAGGAUGAUCGAGUUGGAGCCAGAACAUCUCGAGUAUAGAUUCAUGAGAGCCAGAGCUUACGGGCUUGUUGGGGAUGUGAGACAUUCCAGGGAGGAGUUCCGGGAGCUUGUGGAAAUCCAACCUUUCUCCGCGAAGGCUUUGCAAGUCAGUGAGUGAUCGAUCGUUUUCUUUCGAGUUCUUAGAAGCACCAUUGUGUUUUAUGCUCCAGGGACUGGCUUUAGCUAUGGAGAAAGAUGGAGAAGACGACUCCCAGGUUCUAGAGAUGAUCCAUGCCGCCAUAAAAAAUGCGAUUGAUCAGCAGCAAAGCUUUGCAGCUCGCAACUUUAAGAUGCUUCUCGGCCAGAUUCUUACGUCUCAGGUACUAGAACAAGCUUUCUUCGUCCCUGUCUAGCUUCGUGAGAUUUUUCUUUCCUUGUUCUAAGCUCCAGUGGUGGAUUUCUUCCAGGAGAAGCUGACACAGGCUCUCGAGCAGUACGAGGAACUGACCAAGGAAGAUCCAUCCGACUUUCGUCCAUAUCUCUGCCAGGUGAGUGACGAAGAACUUCACGAGAACUUCUAAGUUCCUCGAUUAGCUCUCAAAGUUUCUGACUUAUCCAACGAUUUCUCCAGGGACUGCUCUAUGAUUCUCUCGGCGAGAAAGAGAAGGCCAAGGAAUGCUACAAACGAUUCAAGGAGCUCUGCCCCGAGAGCUUUCCACAGCGCAAGUACCUCGACGAUCUCCUGGUGAGAGGGAGCUAUGGCGCUCGCGUGAGAGAAGAAGAGAAGGAAGGAAAGCUCGCCUCGAUGCAACAGCCAAAACUAACGAUGCAAGACAUGGCACAAGCAAGCAAGGGGAAAGAAAAUAAGAGCGAAUAUGCUUCGAAGUGAGAAGGAAUCUAGGUCGAAAACUAGAGACGGCGACGCCGCGAGCGGGAUUCCCUGGUCUGUGGGGCGGAUUGAUGGCGCCGGACGUCAUGGAUGAUCUCCAGGAGCUCAAGGCGCUGCUGGAUCAAGCCAAGCGGCCGCGAGUGAAAUCGCUGCUCUCCGCCGAGAUCGAGAGAAUGCAAAAGGUUCUUGCUCUCUUUCUUGAUCGCUGUAGCGGAUUCUAGACUCCUGGAGGCUAAUCCUGCAGGGAUUGAUCGAGAACGAGGCGAAACCGGCGGCGCCGCUGGAGAAAAUUCCAGUUGCUGCUCCAGAGCCGCGCUACACCACUGUGGAUUCGUUUAGCUGGGAUCAAGAUGAUAAGAGCGUGAAGGUAGUUCUCAUUUUUUUUCUUUUCUCUUUUAGCGACUCGCUUGCUUUCUUGUCGUUUGAAGAUCUACAUUGGAAUCGAGGGUGCCUCCGCUGACAAAGUAUCUUCGAAGUUCCAGGACGAGUCUUUCGAGAUCAAGAUCGAGGAUUUGGGAGGGAAGAACUACCGCUGUGGUGUUCCAAGGCUCCAGAAGCCUAUAGAUCCAGCGGCAAGUAAUGUGAUUGUCAAGCCCAAGCGCCUUGUGGUGGUUUUGAAGAAGAUGGCCACGGCAAGAUGGACCGAUCUACACUACAAGGAAGACAAGGUCUGUUCUUCGCGCUUUUCUCUCUUGUCUGAGACGAUCGAUUGUGGAUGCACAGUUUAAGCCGGAUGAAGGGAAGAAUCCGAUGGCUGGCAUCAUGGACCUGAUGAAGGUAAUUUCCAUGGCUGCAUGGUUUUGGAUCGAUCGUGACCUUGUUGUUGCAGAAUAUGUACGACGAGGGCGACGAUAACAUGAAGAAAACGAUUGCUCAGGCAUGGACCGACGCAAGAGCCAAGCAGGGAGGACUGUGAAUCCUUUCGUUUUAGUUUGUUCUGCUUAGAUUGGAUGAUUUCCUCGCUGCGAAAUUAAUCUAUCAUGUUGUUACUGACGUGGAUUGUGCUUUGCUCAGCGUUCAUCCCUCUUGCUAACGUUUCUUUACUGGUGCUUAUGAUUGAACACUUUAUACAGGAGCUCUUGGUUUUAGUUUUGGUUUGUUUAAGAUUUUGCUCUACAAUAGAGGUGUACAAAGUUUGUGCAGCCUUGUGAAGAUCAUUGGUAGGGCUUAUUUGGUCAGAGCGUGUGACUGAAAAUCAGAAGGUAGUUCAAUCCCACUCUCCGGCAUUAUAACUUAUCUUUUAGUUUCUGGACUUCGAACUUGGGACGUUUAUGAAGAGGUAUGCUAUUAUGGCGUGAAAUUUGUGACACCUGACUGUGCUGCCCAAGGUGAUGACAUAUUUUGUAAAAUAUUCCUACAGCUCUUGAAAUAUUCUUUGCCUUCUAGAAUGGUAUAUACUUGGUAUCUAUCAAUCAUAUUUAUGUGCCCAACAUGCACCAGUCCAUGAAGUGCUAUUGUAGUCUCAGACUCAGUUUUAUUUGAUGAACUUUUUAUAAUUCCAGUCAUGGUUUCGAGGAUCUUUAAGAUUAUAACAGAAAAUUUAUUUCCUUUAGCUAAUAUUUGAGACCUACGUGUCCUUAGGUUUGAAUAAUACUAGGCUAGAUGACUUUUUAGAAAAGUCAAAUUCACAAAUUUACAUUUAGUAUAAAAAAGGUAUCAAGUUAUGAAUAAAAGUGCACUUUUUUUUCAAAACAGUUAAGAGUCUUUGGUUACUCUCGAGGGGUAGGAUGUUAAGAGAGCAAGACUUUCAAAAGAGCUAUGGUUCUCAACUUUUAUUCACGAGAAUAUGAACUUAUAAGGAAGCAUGGUGGAUUGUAAGUAGCUAUUUAAAAGGGUGUGAAUUUAUAGGGAAACAUGGUGGAUUGCAAGUAAUUAAAGGGAAUGAUUUGAAAGAUAAUCUAUAAAAAUUCAAAUAUAGAAGGAAAUAGCCUAUAAAUAAAAGUGCACUUUUUUUUCCAAUCAAUUAAAGAUCUUAGGAUACUUAAGGUUAAGUGUCUUUUGGUUUGAAUAGUAUGGGGCUAGAAGAAGUAUUCAAUAGCAAUUGCAAAUGCACUAAUAAAAUUUCUAACUUCCACCUAGCAAGUGAAAUAGUCAGUAGUCAAAAAGUCAAGUAGUCAUUGCCAGCAAUCAAUUGUGGAAAAAGCCCCAUGAGAUCAAAUGCCAUCCACUCAAACAAAUGGAAAAUUGCAAUUAAGUGUAACUAUACUUUCAUAGCACAAGGGGGAGUAUUACAAACUUGGCACGAACGUACAUACCAAUAGUAUCAUGUUGCAUCUCCGGCUAAUAGAAAGAUCUGUGUAGUUUCUCAGUCAUAUAAUGAUGUCGUAUAUGUCAUUCUCAAUGUGAUAUUGAAAAUAUAAAUGUCGAAAUGGCAAAUCAUAAAACUAUCACAAAGCUUUUAGAUCCAUAGCUCAACCUUGUGAGCCUCACAAAUCUCAUCAAGAGAAGGUAAAAAAUCAUGCUCUAUACCUUGUGGAUAUUAAACAUCAAAUACAAUAACUGUUGAUGGCAUAGAAUCCUCAUCCAAAAAAUCCACAAGCCUCAUAGCAUGAUUGUGCCGCAAUUAAUUCAUACCAAAGAUUCAGUCAAAAGUUUGACUCAACACCACCCGCAAUAACUAUAGCGUAAGCUCCUGAAUUUAGACUUCCCAAGAAGUCACCCAACCCAGUACUAUUUAAACCCAAGGACACUUAACCCCAAAUAUCCCAAGACCCUUAACCGAUUGAAAAAGGGGGUGUACUCUUGUUCAUGGGCCUUUUCCCGUUAUAUUUGAACCCUUAUAUAUUAUUUGUCAAGUUGUUCCCUUUGGUUGUUUACAAUCCACCAUGUUUCCUUGCAAAUUUAUGCAUUCGUGAAUGGAAGCUGAGAGCCCCGCUCUCUUGACACCCUACCCUUUAUGUUGAGCCCAGUGGGAGUAAACUAGAUCAGCCAGAUGUCAAUCAACAUAUGGUGCGAUUCCCCUAAGCCAACCAACAGAGUCAAACCUGAGACCUCUAUAAUACCAAAUGUAAGCUCCUGAAUUUGGACUUCCCAGGAGGUCAUUCAACCCAAUGCUAUUCAAAUCCAAGAACACUUAAUCGAUUGGAAAAAGGGGUGCACUCUUGUUCAUAAGCCCUUUCCCUUUAUAUUUGAACCCUUAUGGAUUGUUUCUCAAGUAUAAAGAAUGAAAAUUGGCUCUACUGCAUAGUGCAAAUAUAAAUGUAACAUGUAACAAUAGACUAAGUAAUAGAGGAUAAACUCAAGUCUAUAUCCACCAACAUAGAAUGAAUAAUAGAAGAUCUCUUAUUAUUAAAAUGAGAUUGGAAAGUAAACACUAUAUGAACUAGUGCUAAAUGAACUUCUUGAUAAUACUCUCGAAAGAAAGAUGGAAGGGUCACUGACUUAUUUGUGCAAAGACCCUUUGUUACUUGUGUGACUCUUCAUUUCUUAGAAACAUCUUGGUGUUUAGACCUUUCACUUCAAUAACACCAAUAGGACAUUAUUGAUACUAAAGUCUUUACCUAGGAAAUGGAGGUUAUUAAUCUAGAAAAUGACGAUAAUGCUAAUAAAUGUGACUAACUUCCUUAUACGCAUAACAACAAACAUCACAACCAUAACCACAUUUUUGCCUUUGUUCUUGAAUUUGGGUAACAAUAGCAUUAACCUCCAUUGGAAUAGAACUAUCUCCCAUAAGAAGUGGAGCUAAAGGACAUGCAACUAAAAGUGGGGAAAAUGAUGUCUCAUAAUGUUGUGCUAAGAAAAGAGUAUCAUUAAAGGUGUGGGAGCAAGUGCAUACAUAAAUCUUAUAAAAUAUUGACGAAGUGUUAGCCACAACAUUUCUAACCUAAUUCACUUUGACUUUGGCUUCACACAAAGUAAAAGGUUUCGGAAACAAACACAAAAUUGCAUUAUCCAAAUGUGCAUUUGAAGACAUCCAAAAGAAUGCUCCAAUCCUCAAGAGUGGCUACACUCAAAUUAUUGUACCAUUGCAAUGCCAUCCCUUGAAAACACAUGGGAAACUCAUGCAAAUGUUGAAUAUCAUUCUAAAAAUGAUAUGUGGUAAUCAUCGUAAAUUGAUCAAACUAAUAGUAUAUAUCAUCCCUAAAACUUCCACAAAAGAAAUCUAAUUAGACACGAGAACUAACACUAAGAGCAAGAUGAAUUGUAUUAUAUGCUGUGAAUGCCACUAUCAACUAAGUUUGAUUGUUCAACUAUAAUCCCAUAACAUUGAUAAUUGCAUGACUACUACUCCAAGUUUAAGCAAGAGGAGGCUAUUGUUGCUAAGAAGAUGAACAAAAAGGAAAAAGUAAAAGAGAAGAAAUUAAAAAAGCUAAAAGGAAAAAGAGAUCUAAACAAUACAAAAGUUAAAUCUAAAUUAAAUUCCCAAAUCCAGACAUUGCUCAAGGACAAUCAAAGUUGCCUCCACUAAUGUGAGUGCAUGGAAUAUGGAAAUAGAAUACAAAAAUGUGCAUUUUAAUUAGCUUUUAUAUAUAUAUAUAUAUAUAUAUAUAUAUAUAUAUAUAUAUAUAUAUAUAAGCAUGUGGUCUAAAUUAAAAUCAAUCUGACAGCUAUCAAAAUCUCACUACAUUACUUAGCCCUCAAAAAUUUAUUUACUACAGUUUAAUGGAAAAUUUCUUUUACUCUUUUAUUUUCUUUACUUAGGGAAAAACUUGAGAUUGUUAUAAAUGGAUAUGAACUAGGGUAUAGUCUUGUCCUGGAACCUCCUCAAGAGACUUUACAUUGUAGUCUACCACACUGCCAAAUUUGAAGAGGGACUGCAGAGGUUGUCGAGGCGAUCAGGAUGUGGAGCUCCAGUGGUGGCGGCCCCAAACUCGCCACUUCGAGCGAGGGGUUUCGGUUCGUGGAGCUGAUCGACAACAACCUCGAGACCCCCCAAAUACGUUUUUCAAUUCAGGGUUAGGGCUCUUGAGCUAGGGUUUGAUGGCGUGGGCGAGGGCGAUUGGCGGCUUAUGCAGGCGCGCGGGCAGCGGUCGCUUAGAUUCUCUUUCCAACCGAGGAUUCCAGCGGAUUUCUAGCUCGUUUGGCCAAAGGGGCUACUGCGCGCCGGUGGAAGCGCCACUGUCAGAUAAUUCGGCGGCACCGGCGCUGGCCUACGAGCUCAAGUCCUCGCUCAAGUCUUCGCCGCGGCAUGAUUUGGCGAUGAUCUACACUUGCACGAAGUGUAACACGCGAUCGGCCAAGACGUUUAGCAGGGAAACGUACGACAGGGGGGUGGUGAUUGUCCGGUGUGGGGGAUGUAGCAAUCUCCACCUCAUCGCGGACAGACUUGGGAUGUUUGGGGACAAGGGGAGCGUUGAGGAUUUUCUAGCGGAGAGAGGUGAGAAGGUGAAGAGGGAGUCUGAGGAUACGUAUGAGUUUGCGCUCGAGGAUUUAGUUGGAGCGAAAUCCAGUGAAAAUUCUCGGGACUAGUUUCUAGUCGAAGGUUUCUUCCUGGGUGGUUUUUCUUGCUUAGAAUCACGUCUACAGUUCAGUUGCCCACUCUCGCAUCCCGGUAGCAUAGCGUUUGACGGCACUAUCCUGCAUGUUACCACAAGCUCACAAUUUUGAAGCAGUGUGGUUUGCAUUCUUGAGCGCCUGUCCAGAAACUUUGGUUUGUCUUUCAGAUUCUUCUUGGCGCAGCGAGCAAAGGCUGCAACCAGCUUCCAAGAGUCCGGCCUCACCUCGCCCAUCCUAUCAAACAGCUCCAAAGCCAGACGAUCCUCCGAUUUCGACGUCCUUCUUCUCCUCCCAUCUAGUUCGUGAGCUAGCACUUUGCAUGCAUGUCCUGGUACUCGCUGGAGAGGAAGUCCUGGAGGAGGGACAACACUUACAAGCUUGCCGAGUCCUUUUCUGUUGCAGGAAUACUUUUGACAGCUCCUGGUUUCAACAAACCGUUGUCUUUUUGUUUUCUUUCUAUACAAGCCGAGUUGAAGUGACCAAAAAAGUACCGAGAGCCUNNNNNNNNNNNNNNNNNNNNNNNNNNNNNNNNNNNNNNNNNNNNNNNNNNNNNNNNNNNNNNNNNNNNNNNNNNNNNNNNNNNNNNNNNNNNNNNNNNNNUCUUGUUUUUUGUGAACACAUCUUAAUAUUAUCUGAUUCAAAAAAAAAAACAUUCUUUCCAUUUCAAAAAACUAAAAGAUCACUAAUAUACGAGAUUGAUUUAGGAUAAAUAGUUACAUGAAGGUAGCAAAAUAAAUAUAGUUUACUAUAUAAAACUUCAAUUUUUUUUAAUUAUCUUAUCACAUUCAAAAUAAUAUAAGAGAUUUAUAUGUAUCUCAUUAAACUUACCAUUUAUAAUACUUUCCAAACCAUUUAUCCAUAUAUAGUUUUUCGUUAAAGUCAUUCUUUUUAAUUUUAAUAAUUAAAUUUUAAAAUUCCUUGUGAUAUAGAUAUUUUAGUACUAUCACUAUAACUUGUUAGGUAUCGAAUUCUAGCUUAUUUAUUAGUUAAUAACAAAUUGUAAUUAUUUAUGUAAUAUCACGAGUAUUUAAAAUUCUAAGUUUUUCAAACUUUAGAUGAUAAGUUGUUGCAGAUAAAUCUUGAAAAUAAUGAAAAUUGUACAAAAUUUUUUUUAUACUUUUUAUUGACCAUUUGUAAAAGGAUAUGUAUAUGUAUAUAUAUGCACUUUUAAAUUAUUAACGUAUUUAUUCAAAAUGAUUAUAAAUUUUUUAAUUAAAAAAAUUUUAAAUGAUAUGUUAUAAAGAAAAAAUAUAAAUAACUACUUUAUUCUAAUUUCAAUAUUUUUCUUAUUGUACUUUAUAUAUUUUUAAAACAUUUUCACCUACUUAUACUACUUUCUUAAUAUUAUAAUACAUUAAUUUCUGAAAGGAAAAUUGUAUUCUCUACUACUUUAAAAGCUAAGAAAUAUAAAAAUAUGCUUAGUUUAUAGUGGUUUGACAAAAAACUUUAUACUAAUUGUGAAUUUUAGUUUUGCAUGUGCAUUUAGCACUACUUGUUUGUACUAGUGAUAAUACCCAAAAUGCAUUUUUUACCAUCUAAUAGUUGAUAUUCAUUUACUACUGUUGUGUAUAAUAUUCAUAAACUUAUAAAUUAUUAUUUUAAGUGAAAUAUUUUGCAAUGAGCUAUUUAGCAAAUCAAACUAGUCACUUCAUCCAUAAGAAGCAACCUUCCAUUAUUGUAAAAAAUAACACGUGCUUAUAUUUGAUUUUUUCACUAAUAUUUUAUAUUAUUAAUACUAGGUUAUAACUGAAAACUGAAGAAUCAUUACUUUUUCUUAUACUUUAUGUAUUUCAAAUGCUAAUACAUGCAAAAAGAUUUAUGCUAUCAAUAUCCUUUAUAUAUCUACUGAUUGAUGGAUGUUUGCUAUCUAUCUAGACACCCUUAAAUCCGAUAUAAAAAGAGAAUAGAUGGUUUUCUUGCUCGCACGAUACAAUCACUCCUGUUUGGAAGCAUCAUCUAGAGCUGUUACCACAAGAAUGCUGAAACUGAAGUUCUAAAAGCAACUAGACAUUUAUCUGAAAAGGAUUUCUAAAUCUUACUCAAGCAAUCUGUUAAAAGUGUCUUAUGGCAAUCCUGGUUUGGAAUCCUGUCACCUGCACCUCUGUGACAGCAAGGAUCCGUACUGUGAUCAGUACAGAAUAUAUUAGAAUCUAGUAUGGUGAGCAAGGAGCUUAAGUGGGAGCAAGGUGUCAGGAGCAAGGAGCUCGAACUGGGCUAAGCGCCUUGUUCAAGUGUAGAUCAUCGCCAAGUCGUCUUGAAGCUCAUCCGCUGGAACCUCCGGCUGGAAAGACUAGAAUCUAAACUCCCGCUACUCGCGCGCCUGCAACGCAGCUUGUGCAAAUUCAAAUUUGAAAUUUCAAACGUAUUCGUGGCCGGGCUCUGCGAGUGGCGAGUUCUCGGCCUGCAUGCCCGUCUCGUUCCAGUAAUCCACGAGAAUGAAAUCCUCCACGAACGGCCCCUCCUUGAGCUUCGCCAGCACCACUUCCGGGCUGUUGUCAAUCAGCUCCACCUCGUCGAUCCAGCGGAAGAAGGCCAGGUAGCCGAAAUCAAACCCCCUCGCUCGAACCGGCGAGAAAUUGGGGCCGCCACCAUCGAAGCUCGACGUCCUGCUCGCCUCGGCGAUCUCCGAGACGAGCUGCUCCCUGCCAUCGCCGCACACCCCGUCCUUGAGCCGGCACAGCACGAUCCUCUUUGCCUCGAAGAACUGGUCGACGUGCUUCUCGACGCUCGACUCCCAGUCCAGCGCCAAGGCGGACUCGCAGAUGGGAUUCACGAACUUGUCCAUGCAGUAAAUCUGCGCUGGGUGGAGCGAAAACGCGGCCAGCGCCGCCUUGUUCUGGUGCCGCGAGUGGAGGACGUGCGUGUAGCCACCGCUGAGAAUUUCGUGCGCCGGCCAUAUAGACAGCACCGGUCCGGCCUUGAGGUGGAGGACGCCGUUGAUGGCCCGCAGCUUGUUAAGUUGUUUCACCAUCUCGGCUCGCUUCUCGGCCGAAGCCCAGUGCCGGACCUUGAAAAGAAGGACGUGCUCCACCAGGUGAACGAUCGGCAUCCUGGAGCUUCACUGGAAAUCUCUGGAAGAAAACCAAGAGCACAAGCGUGAGAAUCGUUGUCGCGCUGUUGCUUGGCCAUCUUGAUCACAGCGCUACUUUCACUGAAGGGAGAUUUGCUUUUCUCACUCACUUAUCGAAACGACAGCAUACCUCUUCGUAAACGUCUCCAGAAACUAAAAGAUAAGUUUAGAAUGCCGGAGAGUGGGAUUGAACCACCGACCUUGUGAUUUUCAGUCACACGCUCUGACCAAAUGAGCUACUCCGGCAUCGUGCUGCCCUCAUGAAGAUAUUCACAAGCCUGAGCAUGCUUUAUGCAUUGCUAAAAUUAAUGAAAAACAGCAAAAAGGUAAUAAAAUGGUCGGGAAACUCUAAAAAAAACGUUUUUUGUUUCACUUCCAGACGUCCUUAUGGUCGAAUUUAUAUCCGGGUCAUGAUUGGCGGGGCAACAACAAUAUAAUGUAGCAAAAAACUUCCAAGCGCAUGAUCCUUCCAAGAUCAACCUAGGUCUGUUUCUUCUUGAAAAAAUCUAGACUAGAGCUUGCAGCAAGAAUACAAUGCAACAUUAUGCCAAAAACAAAACCAUAGACUAGAUGACUACCAUACAGCUUUAUGCCAGAGAGUGGGAUUGAACCACCGACCUUGUGAUUUUCAGUCACACGCUCUAACCAAAUGAGCUACUCUGGCACCUUGUUGCCCUACCAAUGAACUUCGCGAGCCUGAGCAAACUUUGUACACCUGCAUUGUGAAGUAAAAUCAGACAAACCAAAACUAAAACCAAGAGCUCCUGUAUAAAGUGUUCGAUCAUAAGCACCGGAUGAAUAGUAAAGAAGCACUUACUCUGUUAGCAGAGGGAUAAACGCUGAGCACAAUCCACGAUCAGUAACAACAUGAUAGACUAAUUUCGCAGCGAGGAAAUCAUCCAAUCUUAAAACGAAAGGAUUCACAGUCCUCCCUGCUUGGCUCUUGCGUCGGUCCACGCCUGAGCAAUCGUUUUCUUCAUGUUAUCGUCGCCCUCGUCGUACAUAUUCUGCAACAACAAGGUCGCGAUCGAUCCAAAACCAUGCAGCCAUGGAAGUUACCUUCAUCAGGUCCAUGAUGCCAGCCAUCGGAUUCUUCCCUUCGUCCGGCUUAAACUGUGCAUCCACAAUCGAUCGUCUCAGACAAGAGAGAAAAGCUUCAAACGAGAUCUUCAAACGAGAAGAAAGCAAGUGAGUCGCUAAGCGAGAUCGAGAGCUCACCUGCGAGGAGAGGGAGGAUUCGUCGCCGGCGAGGCCGAUGCUUGCGAUCUCGGUGGAGAGCAACGAUUUCACUCGCGGCCACUUAGCUUGAUCCAGCAGCGCCUUGAGCUCCUGGAGAUCAUCCAUGACGUCUGGCGCCAUCAAUCCGCUCCACAGCGAGAGCCUUUGUCAGCUUCACCUGGAAGAAAUCCACCACUGGAGCUUAGAACAAGGAAAGAAAAAUCUCACAAAGCUAGACAGGGACGAAGAAAGCUUGUUCUAGUACCUGAGACGUAAGAAUCUGGCCGAGAAGCAUCUUAAAGUUGCGAGCUGCAAAGCUUUGCUGCUGAUCAAUCGCGGCGGCAUGGAUCAUCUCUAGAACCUGGGAGUCGUCUUCUCCAGCUUUCUCCAUAGCUAAAGCCAGUCCCUGGAGCAAGAAAACCACAAUGAUGCUGCUAAGAACUCGAAAGAAAACGAUCGAUUACUCACUGACUUGCAAAGCCUUCGCGGAGAAAGGUUGGAUCGCCACACGCUCCCGGAACUCCUCCCUGGAAUGCCUCACAUCCCCAACAAACCCGUAAGCUCUGGCUCUCAUGAAUCUAUACUCGAGAUGCUCCGGCUCCAACUCGAUCCUCCUUCCCAGAACCUCAAUCGCCUCCCUCACCUCGCCAUUCUCCAUCCUGAGCGAGAGCAAAUCCUUGUAAGCCACCGGGUUGCCCGGCUCCUCCUCGAUCGUCUUUAGCACCGCCUUGAGCGUCCUCUCAUUGGCCUUUGCGCGAAGAACCCUGGACGGAACCUUAGAGCUCUUCCCUGGCUUCUCGGCUACCGCCCUCUUCUUCUUGGCGAGAUCAGGAAUCGCGGAAGCCGGCAACCCAGCCACAUCGUCGACAGGCGGGACGGCCUCGGCUCGGGCGGAAUCGCUGACGCUGAAUCCCGAGACCAGGCAAAACGCCGCAGUGCCGAGCAAAAUCCCUGCAUCCCUGCUCAAUCGAUCCCACACCCCGGUCGCCAGCUUCGCGCUGCCGCUGCCGUGAUUCCUACAGCAAACCGCUGCCCUGGAAGCGCGAAAUCCUGGCAGCUGGUGGCGGCCGAGCGCUGGGAAGCACCGCAUUCGCGGAGGAAGAAAGCAUCACUCUAGGUUUAGGGUUUAAGGCUCGUUUGAUCUCUCUUCUUAACGCGCCAAGGAGAGAUUGUAGAGAAAAUACAAAUAGAUUGGAUGUGCUCUUCGCAGGAAAACUUCGUUUACUUACAAAGAGGGCGAGCAUCGAGAGCUUUUAUUUCUUUGGGAGUGGCUUCUUCUCGUCGUCAAUGCUGGCGCUACCCAUGGCCUCGAGCUCCUCAAUGCCACGAUCGCCAUCGCCCUCCUCUUUCUUUGUCACCGCCGGGCGCUGGGCAUCCAGUUCGUCGUCUGGAUCAUAGUCCGGAUUGAGCGAUUUCGGUAGCGAAGCUCUCCAAGCACGGCUUGCAAGCCAUUUCGAUCGCUGCCCAUCCGAGUAGAAUCCCGGCGAUCGC
rnacentral:lncRNA from 1 species